rnacentral:lncRNA from 1 species
CCCACCCUCAUUAAACUAAUUAAUUCAUUCAAUAAUAAUAUAAUUAAUAUAAUACCAUAUAAUUAAUCAAUUAAUUAAUAUAUUAAGUAAUUUUUAUAAUCAAUUCAUUAAUUUUAUUAAAUUAUUAUUUUUUAGAAUUAAUAUAUUAGCUUAUUUUCUUAAUUAAUUUUUAAUAGUUAAUUGAUUAAUUAACAUAUUAAAUUAUUAUUAAUUGAUAUUUUGAUAUUAAUUAACUAGAUGAAAUUUUUUUUAAAAAAAUUAUAAUUGCCCUUUUUCCUACAAGUCUGGUCUAACAGUCGAAAUAUAACUAUUCUUAAUUCUAAGAAUAGCUCAAUUUUCAUUCAGACAUACAGUUAGCCUUAGUUUCUACUUAUUUCAGAAAUUAUGCCCCUAUUAAAAAUAAGAAAGAAUAAUUUAGUCUGUUUAUUUUCACCGAAAGUGGAUUUUAGAUUUUUCAGGUGAAUAUUAUUUUUCCUUCACGGUUUGUUUCAUAAAUAUGAAAGUAAGUUUCUCUAGUUCUAUUAUUUGUUUGGCAGAAAGGGAAUAACGUAAAAAAAUACAAUUAUAUAUGGAGAAUAAAUACUUGAUAAAUAAAAAAUUGUAAUGUAAUAAAUAAAAAAUAAUAUAAUUGUAUCCCUAUAUAAUUGAAAAUGAAAUCUAAAAUAACUAAAUACAGUAAAAGAAAUAUUAAUACUCAACUAAUCAAUUUUUGUUAUAUUUAAAAUGUACAAACUAAAUGAAAUAAAAUUACUAAAACUUAACUAAUCAAUUUUCAUGCCAUUUUAAAUAUGUAAACUAGAUAAAAUAGUAAUUAGUACCACAAUAAAAUAUACUUAAAUAUAACUAGCAUUACUUGUUGUAUUAUUUUAUUAUGUUUUUCCUUCAGCUUUCUUAUAUUGUUUUGGAUAACUUGAGUUUCAAUUAUAUUUGUGUUACGGCAAACCAAAUAGCAACAGUCGUCCUUUACGUUCGAACAUAAUUUCAUACCUUUCCACUUUCACCCAAACAAACAGGCUCUUUAUAUUUGAAAACAAAUUUUGGAAUACUCCGUGUAUUCUUGAUAUUUUCAUCCCGUCAACCCAACUCCUUUGUACCAACCUGGUUGGUCUAGUGACUUUUAUUGCCUAUUAAAUAAUAAUAGUAAUUUUGGACUAAUAAUUUUUAUAAAGUUAUUGAUCUUAUACCUUUAAUCUCCUAAGAAGGUAAAGUUUUGGGACCACUAGUCGAAGAUGGAAGAAGGUAAAGAAGCUAUUGUGCUUCAUUAGGACAAAUUGAUAUAGUUGAUUCUUAUGCUUAUAUAGGACUUAAAUAUAAUAGUACUAAAGUUGGUUUUGAAAUAAGGAUUUAAAUGAAUUGAAUGAACUUAAGUUUGUCAUUCGAAGUUUGAUAUAUGCUAUGAUUUAUAUAAGACCGGACAUAGCUUAUGUGGUUGAAAUUAUUUCAAGAUAUACAUCCAAACCGGAAUGGGAGUAUUAGCAAGCUAUUAAGUGGGCUCUUCAGUAUUUAAAGAGCACAGAAAAUAUUUGCUUGUAUUUUGGUGGAUCUUUUUUAGAGUUGAAUGGAUAUAUUGAUUCCGAUCAUACCGGUUAUAAGAAAUAAGAUAAUCCAUUACGGGAAAUGUUUCCACAUUUGCAGAUAGUGCAGUUAGUUAGAUGUCUAGGUUUUAAGACAUUGUUGCUUUGUCCUUUAUGAAAACCAAGUGUUGCCUUAACUGAAGAGGCAAAGGAAAUAGUUUGGUUAAGUUGCUUGCACAAUUCAAAGUGAAGCAAAAUAAAUAUAUCGUACUUUGUGAUAAUUAAAGUGCAAUUCAUCUUGCAAUGUGGCGCAUCACUUCUGAAAUAAGCAUAUUGAUGUUUGUUUUUGCUUUAUUUGGAUGACGUUAGAUUAUCAGUACUUGAAUAUAGAGAAGACCAACACACCAAAAAAAAAAAGAAAAAAUUCUUUGUGGAUAUGUUGACAAAGGUUAUCCCUAUGGAAAGACUAUGGGCCCGUUUGGCUUAGGUUUUGAAAAAAUAAUUUUUACAGAAUUGAUUUUGGUUUGGUAAAUUGAUUUUUCUUAAAAGUUGUAAAGCAUUUGGUUGAGUUUAGAUAAAAAUUAAUUUUUAUGAAAUGAUUUUAUAAAACUAUUUGGCAAAAAUUUUUAAAUAUUGACAUAUAAUAAUUUUAUUAUUAAAUUUUAUUUUUAAAAAUUUAAAAUUUGAAUUUAAAUUAAAAAUUUAAAUUUGAAAUAAAAUUUAAAAUAUUCAGUUUUAAAUUUAAACCUUAAAUUUGGACAAAAAUUAAAAUUUUUUGAUAUUUUAAUUUAAAAUGUACAUUUAACAUUUGAAAUUUUAAAAUGUAAAAUUUAAAAUUUAAAUUUUUAAAUGUAAAAUUUAAAAUUUAAAUUUUUAAAUCUAAAUUUAAAUUUUAAAUUUCAAAUAAAAAUCUAAAUUUGUAGAAUACUGAUUUUGUCAAUUUGACGCAAUGUAGGUUGUUAGUCAGCAUGUGAAUGCAGAGCUUGAAUGAGGUGAAAACAUUUUGGAGCAAAAUUGACGCGAAAAUAAAUGAAUAUGUCACUUUCUUACUAUAGGGGACUUAUGCAUAAAUAAUAAAAGGUUUGGGCUAAGGUGCAAAAUGGCAACUUAGUGGAAUUCCACUAUAAGAGCCCUUCGUUAUCUCUUUUUCUCUCUCUCUCUCUCUCUCUCUCUCUCUCUCUCUCUCUCACAGAGAUUUUUAUGCAAGAAAUUAAGCUAGGGGGAAAAGAAAGAAAAGAGAAGAAGUGAAGUAGAAGAAGAAAAAGAUAAGAAGUAGAAGAAGAAGAUGAUGAGGUAACUUCUUUUCUUCUUCUUUCUUUUUUCUUUCUUUUCCCUCCUCUCUCUCCCUCUCACUCCCUCUCCCUGUUGUUGCAUGCUGCUGCUGCAGCUGUUACUGCAGCAGCUGCAGCAGCAGCAGCAUCAAGCUGCUGCAACAGAAGCAGCAGCAUGUUGCAGUAACUACUGCUGCUGGCAGAGCAACAGCAGCAGUGCUGCAGCCUGCAGCAGCAGCAGCAGCAUCAUGCUGCUGUUGACUGCACAUAAAAGAAAAAGAAAGGAAAGAAAGAAAGAAAGGGAGAAGGAGAAAAAGAAAAAAGAGAAAAAGAAGAAGAAAAGAGAAGAAAAGUAGAGAAGAAAAAGAGAAAGAAAGGAGAAACGAAAAGAAAGGAGAAGGAAGAAUGAGAGAGAAAGCGAGAGAGAAAAAUGAGAAAGGAAGAAGGAAACGGAAUUCGUGAAAUAGAUGUUGUAAUUGGCAUACUUCGCACCUCUAAACUUUCUAAUUGGCGCUUGCAGAGUGUUCAGGAAUGUGAAUUUGAGUGCCUUACAUCUCCGAUUAGUUGCAAUUGACGGUAAUUGACGUUCAAUUUGCAUGAAUUGAGUUCGAUUAAGAAUUUGGCCUUUUGAUCGUAAUUCCGAAGGUUUUGUUGUAUUUAGUGUUUUCGGGCGACCGAGAGGAGAGAAAAAGCACGUGAGGAGCUUUUCGCUUGCCCGAGUCGACAUAGCGAGUCGAGGUCGAUUUUGAGUCAUCGAAAACGGCGAAUUUCCUUCUAUAUCUAUUUUAGCAACGUAUAUAGGACUUGAACACAUGUAUAUGAAUUACGUAGUAUUGAUCAUUUUAGCAAGACAUUUGAAGUAUAAACACACGAUUUCGUACUGGUAGCAUGAACAUUAGUUUGAACAGAAAACUUGAACUUGAACAUAAAAUGUAAACAUGUCUCUUUUGAUGAUGUAUAUCAUAGUUGAAAUAUGAGCAUGAGCAAUUUCCUUUUACCUUUGUACUGAGCAUGCUAUGAGUUAUAGGAUCUAGGUUUAGGAUUCGUAUUGUCGGAUCGUUGGCGCUAACCAUUAAUCCCAAAAACUCGAGCUGUUAGAAAUAUGCAACCAAUUCACUUAAAGCGUACAGAUACAGCACCCACGGGUCUCAAUUGUGACUCGGCCUACCCAGCCUCACGCCACUUCGAACAUGACUCGGCCUAAUCCAGCCUCACACCAUUUCAAAUAUGACUCGGCCCACAUGGAUCUUCCGCCAUUUUGAAUAUGACUCGGCCCACAUGGCCUCUCACCACAGGGCAGGAUGCUGGCCCAUUUAAGCCAACAAUCCCCCCUCCAGCAUCUGGACACAUUUGCAGCAUGCCGGAAUCGAACCCUUGACCACGGUCGGAUCGUUGGCACUAACCAUUAAUCCCGAAAGCUCGAGUUGUUAGAAAUACACAACCAAUUCACUUAAAGCGUACAGAUACAGCGCCCACGGGUCUCAAUUGUGACUCAGCCCACCCAGUUUCACCCCACUUCGAACAUGACUCGGCCCAACCCAACCUCACGUCAUUUCGAAUAUGACUCGGCCCACAUGGCCUCCCAUCACAGGGCAGGAUGCUGGCCUAUUUAAGCCAACACGUAGGACAUUUGUGGGCGACCUUUGACAGUUAACAUUCUUCAUGAUAUAGGUCGUAGGAGGCCAGUUGAUAUUAGGAAGUUGAGGUGAGAUCUUUUGGAUGCUCUAGUCUUAUGUUGAGACAGUUGAGCCGUUUCGUGUGAUUCUUUGACAAUCCCAUUGUCUAGUCAUUGUGCACUGGGGACUGUUAGUAUUCUUUCGUAUUAGAUGUUCUAACUUAAGUCGUGGAAGGCCAAUCGACAACUUGUGCAUCUUGAGGAGUCCUUGAUUACUCAUGACUUAUGUGAGUCAUCUAUCAUCUAUUUAUCUUGUACAUGCCAUGACCUAUGUAAUAGAGGCCGUGGGUAGCACGUGGUAGUGUACAGAUGGUUGGACAUGUAGGAGCAGUUGAUCCCAUUGAGUAUUGUGACUUUGUGUAGCAUUGUGCCAUUUGGCUCUGUUGACUCUAUUGAGCAAUAUGCAUAUUCUAUUUUACUCCAUGAUUACACUGAGGACAUUGCAUUGGGUAUUGUGAUAUUGUUGACCAUGACAUAGACCAUAGCCUGCAGAGCCAUAUUGAGUCGACAGAGAUACAUGCUUUAGACUCGGUAGGGGUCGUUCCCCUUCGAAUGCCCUUCGGAUGCUGGCCAGUUAUAGCAGAGAGAUGUGUGCCCUUGGAAAGACGGCCCACCUACGGGAGUGGUGUUCGGGCUGGGGGCAGAGCCUAUGUGUCGACGGUGCACCUGCGGGAGUGUGAUCUGGGCACUAGGCAAGAGCAGGCUUGACUGGACAUACGAGUCGGUCGUUGCGAUUGGAUAUUAUUAUAGUAGUUGUUUUUCGCUAUAGCAUUGAUGCAUACACUACUCAGCUUCUUUCCUUUUCUUUCACUACAUGUACAGGGACAUGAUUUUCAACUGGUACAUAGAUUUAUUUAUAUGACUUUCAGUUUUGCACUUUCUUUUACUUCAUAUUUAUCUAUGCAGGUCAUAACCAGUUAGUCAUUUACUGUACUUUACAUGUAUCUGCUCAGCUCAUAGCCAGCUUUGUCUUUAUUGUUAUGUACGGUUAUUCAUUUACGUGUUCAAAUCAAUUACCUGUUAGAUCAUAGCCAACGAUACUCAAUUAUUCAUUUACCGUACAUGUCACGCCCGGACCCAGCGGAAGCCCGCCCGACGUUUGCACAAACAUGCCGUGUAUUCCAAACCUCCCCGAUAUACACAAGGCGUCUACUAAAUAAGAAAUGAACAAGAGUAAAAUCCUAAUAAGGUUAUCAAAGCGAGUGACAUAAAAUCACUAAAACAACGACAUCCACAAGAUAUACAUAAGUAUAUACAACAGAAUCCAAAAGUCUAAUACAUCUCUAAAUCAAAUACAUAAUACAUCUUUUUCACAAAUACAAAAGGAAAGAUGACAUCUGGUCCAUCUAUAAUAACUCCGUAGAGGCUCUAGCUAGUCGCUAACUGUCAUGCCCUAGGGUCCCUUUGGAUUUAAAAUCCAAUGUAGAAGUAUCCAAUUUUUUGUUUUUUUUGAAAAUCUUGACCCCCAGGGUAUAUCAGAUUCGCCACAAAUAUAGGGAGUCCACUGUUCACACGACGUCGCACAAGUACAAGAUACAAUCACAACAUAUGAACAUCCAUAUUCAUUCACCAUUCACAUAACAUUCAUUUCAUCACAAAUACUCAUGAGUUCACAUCUAUUAGUUUGAAACGUUUCCUACUCGGAAACUCAUUUUGAAAUACUAGAAACCAGAAAAAACCAGAAAAUCCUUUUUAAAAUCAUUUCCCACACGGAAACCUUUUUCUUUUAAAAUACGCUACCACGAGAGGUAGAAAACUACUUUUAACUCAUAAAACUCUGUAAACUUUAUUACAUUCAUAAAAAUCAUAUGAAUUCAAAUGAAAUAAACCACUGAACCUUAAAUAUUGUCUAAGUCAUUUAUUAAAAGACAAGUUUGAGAGUUUAACCAAAUGACGGGUCGAUAGCUCUAUCGAUCACUAAAUGUGCUCCUCACGAACCGUCCCACUAGGGCCCGCGACGUGUACACGUGUACACAUGUACACAUGUACACAUGUACGAAUAGGGGUGGGGGGUGAGAACAUGUACACAUGUCUCCCCUCCCAGUGGGUACCGCAAGGCGACGAGGGUGAGGGUACUCACCAGUCACGGAGGAUAACAACAAAUAUAAAUAAUAGUAAUACAGUAGCAAUGAUAAACAAGAAAAAAUAAGAUGUAUAUAUGAAUCACUACCGCUACUGUAUAUAUGCAUCAACCGGACGAUAAGUCCAAAAAUACCCAAUCUGAAACCUGUGCUCUGUUGAUCCGCACCACAGACCUCAAGCUGUGCCCUGUUGGUCCGCACCGCAGACCUCAAGCCUGUGCCGCUGUCAUUCUACCUGCAUAUAACCCAAGGUAGCCUAUGGGCUCGCGGGUUGGCACCUCCAACCACUUUUCCGGAAAAGAAUACCCUCUUGCAGUGGAUCAAACCGCCGGUGUUCGUGAAAUGCGUACGAGUAUCGGGCGAUCAAUAUUGAUAUGCUCAAUAGUCAACCUUCGGCAACCAGCCGACAAUCCUACCCCUCAGGGUAUGCCGACCGUAUAGGCCAUCAAAUGAAUCAACCGACCAAGUAGGUCUCGAUAACAAUGCAGUAAGCCGACCGAAUAGGUCACAGAUACGAGAUACAAGAACCGACUAACUAGAUGACAAUACCAGAUGCAACACACUGACUGACUAGGUCAUCAAUCUCACAAAUAGUCACAAAACCGCUCUACUUCUAAAACAUAAUACUGGGUAUGCAACCAACUAAGUAGAGCAAUAAAGAGAUAUGGUGUAGGUGCUAGGCUCAACAUAUAAAAUGGAAGAUAAACAAUAAGGAAAGAGUGAAGGGAAUGUCAUCGAAUGUGCACCACUGUACCGACUUCGGGUCGAAGUACCCACCUGUAUGUAUAUGGCACUGGUCUCUCGACUGUGGAAGAAGUAUCAACCGAACAUACGAAGGGUCCACCGGAUUAGAAUCCAACCCACGAACACGAACCACUAACUCACAAUCCCCACAUGCAAAUCCCAAGGGAAUCGGUUUCCCAAAACAGAUUGCCGUAACACGCCGGAAGUCUGGAAAAUCACACCGGGACUCCGCCGGGACCCACAAACUGUCUCAGAACUCACCGACUCAUGCUACGAGUCACCCGCUGCCACUAAAUACAAUUAUUCAUGCGACUUGGCAGCAAUCACGUCGUCUCACAUUGAAAUGAUUAUCAUCGGAUAAUUGUUCUGAUCUGCAUCCCCGAAAGUGUCCAAUUCGACACCGGAACCCGUCGUCGCUCACCCGUUGUUUCCGAACCCUCGAAACGAUGCGGGUGACCAGCCAAUAAGGCUUAGUGACAACAUGAUCUACCAUGAGGCACCGUCGGAAGAAAUCCGAAUCGAAAACGCGUUCCGUUGGCGAAUUUUGCCGAAAAACGCACUUAAAAUCAACAUUCGAUUUUCGAAAAAGCCUGGGGCCUUGGACAACUAGUCCAGAGGUCACCCAAUUCCCGCACACGCUGGCAACAGUAACCACGAAACAUGCAAAUGCAUAAAAACCUCUGCGACUACAUAAAAUCACAUCAUUUUAUGUGAUUUUCAGGGUUUUAUGGCCCGACAACGCAAACGAAGGAUGUUCUAGCCUGGCCGAGACACCCGCUGACAGGUCUCGUUGUGCCAGAGGCCGUGCUCACACUUCGGAGCAUGGCCGGCCGCUGUGGUGAGUGCAGGAGCGACACGAAGUUCAGCCACAUAACGCGCACAACGCCUAAAUCGCGCUUAGCACGCAAACUGGGGCUUCGCUGACCCCAACGGAGGUGAGCACGCUGUUCAUCAUGAAUAAGGGAUCAUCGUGCUCACUUCCGAAAGUGUCGGGGUGUCCUCGGAUCGCCGAAAAGACGACCGAAACUUGAAACAAUGCACAGAAAACAACAACUAGCCUUACAGGAGCAAGGUAGGGCACGGGACGGCGGGCGGCGGCCAGACGGCGGGCGCUCCGGCAGGGGGUGGUCACGGUCAGAGGGGGCCCGGGCACGCACUGGCCGGGAGCAGGAGGCGGCUGGUGGCGCGGUGGAGUAGCGCGCGUCCGUGCGGCUCGGCUCGGGUUCGAGAAGCAACGGCGGCCGGGAGGCGGCCGGGGGAGCGCCAGGGCGACGGCAGCACAUCGCCGAAGACCGAGGAAGUACAGCGCGCCCUACGGUAGGCGGCGGCGAUGCGCGGAGGCCAAGAUGGCUUGGCCUCGGCCCGCUCUAGUUUGGACUGCCGCAGUGUCACGUCCCGCGAUCGCCAAUUUGGUCGAUCCGGGCCCGUACCCAGACGCCGAACGGACAGAACCUCCUCUGUCCGCCCAAGGCUCAACAACAACGAGUACAUGUAUAAAGAAAUAAACAAUUCCCAGGAUAACAUUUCAAUAUACAUGGCUUGCACGAGGGCAAGCAACAAACACAAGUGAUAGUAAGCUAGCUAUACUGAAAAUUCACUGUAAUUUAAAACUUUUAAACUGAACAUACAUAACUGAAUAACUGAAACAUUUAGUUAUUUACAUACUCCUUAUACACUCAUUUACAUGUCUCUGUACAUCAAAAUGUAUCACAUGAACUCAAAAUGGUAAAGUACUAUACUCUGGUGUCAGCUAGCUAUACUGCGGGGCUCUUGCCACGAUCCUCGGCCACACCGCUCGCACUGGAACCUGUAUGGUUAGUGGUGUGAGAACUACUGAAAGUUCCCAGUGGGUUCGACCGCCGAAUUCGCCGACUCACCCACUAGGUCUACUCAGGCAUAUGUAGGCAAGAAAGUAAACAGAUAGUAACCAACUAUAAUAUGUAACUACUACAAUGCCUGUACAAAACUGAAAGAAUAAUAUGUAAAACUGUAAAUAUGCAUGCAUGCUUUUACUGAAUUUACCCAAUCUCUUGGUUAACCUUUUGGUUAACAAUAACUCACUGACACUAUCCCAAAUAUCGGGGAGACGCAACCUGCACCCGACGGGACUGUCAACUGGGGGAGACGCACCUCCUGGUCCAGUAAAGAUGACUACUCCGGAGCUCAUCGUUCAAGGAGGAGCGACCUACCUUGAACCAAACGAAUGUGAGUAUGAUCUGAUCCUCCUUUAGAGGAUUCAACAAUAGACAAUGUCACACUUAACUCUAACUAGCUCUUUAUGCUAGUUUCACAAUUCCAUUUCUCGAUGCUAACCAAAUCUCUAAUUAGAAUGUCACCAAGUUUACUAUUGUUAUAGUCCAUGCAUUCAUAGGGUUCUAUGUUCACAUUCUAUUGUUCAUAUAUUCUCCUGGUCGAUAAGCAUUUGUAUAAUCAAAUAUCAUUUACAUAAUAACAAUACCUUAUAAUGCAUAAUUACAAUGCUAAUAUGCUCAAUGAAUUAGCAUAGACAUAAAAGGUGAUUCAAAGAUUUCGGAUAGCACCACCCACCUGUAGUGGUGUCAACAACUAGAAUCCCCGUCUCGAAAUGUUUCGACAACUAGCUCUCGCGACUCGGUGUAAAUAGAACUAGAACGGUCUCUACCGUAACUAGUGUAUCGUCGACCUGUCGGAAAGUCAAUUUAGACUUUCGAGCAUGAUUAACUUUCAUUUAUAAAGGAGUAAAAGAGAUCAAACUAGAACCUUAUUCUCAUAUUUUACAAGUUAGCAUUUCAAUGCUAUAUAAAGUGUCAAUUCCGCAUUGAUUUCAGCAUUAAGCUGAAAUCUUGCUUCAUUUCCUCAUUAGUGCUCUCGGCAGCUCUUCUAAACAGAAAUUAGAGUGAAAUUUACCCCCAAUUUCAUUUAAAGAUUAGAAUUAAACAAUUUCAACUUUGUUCUAAUCAUCUCUAAUUUGAGUUUUCUAGAUCAAUCACUCAAUUGGCCUAUCUCAGCUCUUAUGAAUUCUGCACCAACAGAAUUCUACAUAAUGCUGAAUUUUCAGCACUCUACCUUCUCCUCCACAGCUUAUUACGAGUAUAAAAGAAAUACUUGUUUCAAUCACACUCUUUUUAAAGCAAUACCAGCCCACUCCACUCAAGAGUAAGCAUCCCUCUCAGCUUCAGCAUGAAAUCUUCAAUGCUGAAAUUCAACAUUUAAACUUCCCAGUUUUCAGCACUAGUUCACAUGCUAACUUCAACUUUAGUUACUUAAAAUCAGUCUUAACGUAGUUAACACACUGCUUAAUUCAGGAAUACACUACUUAAUUCAGGAAUAAACAUCAAUUUACCUCACGAGCUGUAUCAAUGCUCCAGAGUUCUUUCUCUCAACUGAUUCUCUGCUCACUAGUUCCAACAGCAGGAAGCUCUCUCUCCAAUUCUGGUUUACUAGUUUACCAAGCUCUAAUCCUGGCAAUCAAUAAAGCCUCUAUUAACUCUUCGUUAAGAUAAGUAACUUAAUUAUAGUCCAAUACUAGUUCAAACUUACCUUAAUUAGAUACUUCUUCUAAUUAAUUUCAACUUGAAGCAUCAAAAACUCACUCAAGGUAUCAAUUCCACUUGGUAGCUCCAAAUCUGAAAUUUUCGACCAUAAGACUCAAUUCAAUCCAUUCUAAGCAACUAAUUUAACUGUACUUCAAUAUAGAAGGAACUUACUAUAGUUUGAUGCUAAUUUAACUUGCUCACUGCAUCAAAUAGGCCAUCCCUGCAUUUCGGCAGCACCAAGGAUAUCUAUCAACUUGCAAUCUAGGUAGCUAACACUAGCAGCCCCAAUACAAACUUAUCUUACUAAAAUUCCUCUUAUAUAUAUAUUAAGUAAUCCAACUUAUGCUGAGGACUUUUACCUGAAUUCUAAAGCUUUUUCAGCUGGUCCUCGUGUUCGAAGAAGCUCCAACAAUCCCAAGAGCACCAAGGCUGCCAGUACCAAGAAGCUUAUAUAACUUCCUUUACAAGUACUUAACUUUUCUAGGAAUAAAUACCAAUCAAAAUUACCUUGAUUAGGGGUUAUUCCUGGUUGUAGAGCAACUCCAGUCAGCAGGAAUUACAAGCUCGGGUCACUUCCCUCAGCUCCAAUAAUCCAAUUUCCUGCUUGGCAGCUUCAUCCAUCAAAGCCCUCCCUAGGCUUGCUCUUCGGAUAGAGAGAGAAAGAGCAGAAAAGAGAUGUAAAAAAAAAGAAAGAGAGAAGGGUCCCAACACGUGUACAAACUCCAGCCAGCAUGGGUUAAGUGAUAAGGAUGAAAAUUUGCAACUUAACCCUUAAUUUUCUCAAAACUGCAUUGCAGUCCAGGCAGCCUGCACAUGCUGUACCGGUACAAGAAGGUGUACCGGUACAGGGCAGUAGCUUCAGCAGCAGCAGCAUCAACAGCUGCUUCAACUCUCUUUUUCUCUUAACCAACUCGUUCUAAUUUCAUUUGAACACUUCUAAAAUCAUCCAAAAAACUUUCCAAGCUACCAAAUUAAUUUGGAAAUAUGUAAUUCUCAGACUUGCAUCAAUUUGACCAUUUUUGAUCAAGUUGACUAAAAUUUCAGCAUUCGAAUUGCUACAACAAUUGGAGUUGUUAACCCCUUCAAUUCCAUUCGAGCCUACUCACACACUUCCAGAACAUGCCAAUUGUUGUUCUCAAACCUCUAAUUAAGUUUAGAGAUACUUAAUUUCCAUUUUUGCAUUGUUGUGAUCACUUUAAUCACAAUUAGCUCAAGGUAAAUUCUCGAUACAUUACACGCAGGGAGCUCGAGCGAUAGCCGGCGGUGCUCCCGAGUGAGGGGACAACGAGUGGGAGGUCGCCGGGGGCCGUGGGAAGGCAGCGCGACCGGCCGGAACGGUGACGGCGCGCGGAGGCAGAGAUAGCCCCGGCUCGGCCUGCUCAGGGUCUGGGCGGCUGCAAAGAGCCCAGGCGGCGCCGGCGGCGCACGCGGACGGCGGGGGGCUGGCGGGGAUGUGCCGGAGGUCGGUCUCGGCCAAGGGACGAAGACUCGAUGCGUGGGGUUGACUUCCUGAGAUCUACGGCUGAGGAAGGUGGCGGCUAUGUGGAGGAGAUGAUGGAGGAGAGGUCGAGCCAAGGUUUUCCCGAGGCCGGGGCACUUGUCGGCGAACAAGGUGCGCCCACGGCUAGGGCAGGGGCUAGCUGAUGACAUCUAGGGCGUAGCUGGGGAGCUAGGUCAGCUAGAUCUAGGGUUUCGUGCAUAGAAACCCUAGAUGCACAUUAUAUAUGCUGUGCACUUUUGCAGAAAAGUCCCCGAAACCUGAUUAUUUUCAGCCCAGUCCCUGCCAGCGCGUGUAUCUUGCGCGUACGCACCUCACGUUCGAAAUCACGCAAAAUGGUGCAUAAAAUAUGGGGUUUUUCUCAGAUUUUCCAUUUUGCCAAUUUCGGCCCCUCAGCGAACAUUUCGCGAUUCCUGAAGAUCCGUUCUUCGGAUUUUCGAUCGGAUCAUGGCAACACGUUCAGGACAACCGGGGCAUCGAAUCUACCAUUUUGUUUCAUCCGAUAUGAUCGCCGAUUUGCGACGAAACCCAUCCACUCUCCAACCUCUCCCAUAACCCGCACACAAAUACAAAGAAAAUAUGUAUCUCCAGUUUUCUCGAAAACCAUGCAUCAGAUCUGAAAUUCGUCAGCGCCAUUGGGUUCAGGACAAUCGACCCAUCGAAAACUAGCUAUUGGAUCACAAUGAAGGGAGUCCAAUACAUACCAGAAGCCAUCUCCAUUAAUUAGCCUCCCUGAAAAAUCGGAGUUACUAUUCACUUUAAGUGAUUAGUACAAGUCACGUAACUUCUCCAUCCUAACUCGUUUUCUCUUGAAACUUGACGAGUGCUUAUGUAAUUAAAUUACACACAAAAAUAUCGUCAACAAAGGGUUUAUCUGCACCGCAAAAAUCUCAGUUCUCACACUAGCCUCUCCCGUUGCGGAAGGCUCUGAAAUAAAAACCAACAACCAAUGGGGGUGAGACUUAUUAAACAAUAGUUCUCAGUGGGUAAGCUGCCGAGAGUGGCGAAAUACACCACAAGGUCAACUGAGGCAUGUCAUGAUAUGAUAAGUAAGCAACAUAUGAAUAGCAAGUAAUUUAAACAGUUUAAUUAAUAAGUCAUGCCUCUACCAAAAGAUUUACAAUUAUGUACAUGAUGUUCUAAUCUCACAUGUUCAACUAUAUGUCAAUGCCGGUUCACAUGCAUGUUCAUUAUUUCUAUAAUGCUACGAGAAGUAAAUUAUGCUUUUCAUUGCUAUUCUAUCCAUGCAUCUAUACACAUCAACAUAGAUGUAUGUAUACUACUAGAGUUAUCGAUGUCACGAAUGACUAACAUAAAGUCCAAGUAAUAUGCACUAUCAUGCGUGUACACAAGUCCAACUAAUAUGCACUAUUUAGUAGUGGUUUCCACAUUAUACUUUAGGUGUCAAUGUUCAAUCUAUCAUGGAUCUACACGAGUGUUGUCCGGCUUGCACCGUGCCUAAUGGCCUCAUAGUAGUCAACAUUUUCCCUCUAGGAAUGAGCCUCCCCCACGACAUCUCAUUUCGGUACCCAAUCCCCCACGGGCGAGCUUGUGUCGCGUAGGCUAUCUUCGGAGUGCCGGCUUGUGGGGAGCGACCCUCAUAAGCAUGUGUGAAUGAGCACAAUGGCAAGCAAGUAUAAUCAAUAGUAUCCAACCCUCGGUCAUCAUGUUUAAAAUAUGGCAUAAGCACCAAUGACCCAAAGGUCCAAUAUAGUAUCACAUUGUCACGGUUUAGUCAUAUACUAAAUCAAGUGUUACUACAUAACGUUCAUGUUUACCAUGUCAAGUAUAAGUCACUAGUUCAUGAGCACGUAAAACUUGUCAUCAUCCUAUCUAGAAUAGUCCACUAUUUGUUCAAGUCUCAAAUAAGGGUUCACAACACUUUAUCCCACUAUAACGAAGGGGUCACUUUCUUAUGCCAUAUGCAAAGGUAUCGUAAGAUGCUUACAAAGUUCAUGAUACAUGUUAUGCAUAUACUUUUCUACCAAGUCCCCACUACAUGGAGUAGAAGUAUUAUCAUGCAAGUGAUUUUACUCAAUUAAUGUUACAUGCAAUUGUCCUUUUUAUCAUUCGCCCAAAGGCGCUAAAAUCCCAUUCCCUCAUGUCUAACACAUGGAGUACAACCAUUGAUCCCUUGAUCGAAUGCAAUGUCACAAUGUCAAGUACUAGUUAUUCAACUAGGUUCAAUGGACUAAGUUUAGCUUCAUGUCGAUUUUAACAUGCACUUAAAUACUAAGUCUCAUUCACCUUGUCUAUAACAAGUAUAUAUCAACAUGCAACUAAUUGCUAAAUCUCAUCUAUUCCACAACCCAAAUAGAGUUCACAAGAUAAAUCCUUUGUUUAUCUCUAACAUGCUUUCUAUUAUUGCAUAAUAAGAAAAGCAAACAUAUGUCAUGUAGAAUGCAAGUCCAGAUUAUAUACCUCUACUAUAUCGAGUAUAAAUUUUCUACAUGCAACACAUAUGUGUCAUGUAUCUCAAAAUUCAAUCAUGUCCUAUUAAGCAUGAAUAUGCAUCCAUCUAAGUCUUAUAACUAUAGAGAAGACAUAGAGGGAGUUCAGCCAUUUCGGUGAGGUCAAAGCCACCGGAUACACUUCGAAGCCUUUCGUUCCUUCGAACGAAGUUAUCCACCAUGCUUCUAGCACCCUAAAAGAAUUUCUAAGAGGGUUAUAAGUUUCGAACGAAUAUCAUACAAAAUCUACCAAAAAUCACAAGAAAAAGAGAUGAAAAUUACCUUUGACCAAGCUAAACUUGUUCAAAACUCAAAUCAACCAAAUGGAGCUUCAAAUCCAACCUAAAGGAGAGUUCUACACUUAUCAAUUAGGUCCCAAAAGCCUCAAAUCAAGAAAUCCCAAAAUAAACCCUAGUUCUUCCAAAACUAGGUUUUCACCUACAAAUCUUGUAAAACUUAUAAAUAGAUAUUGCAAGAAGAGUACUAACCUUCAAGAAAGCUCCAAAUCAGGCUAUCAUGAGCUAGGGUUGAAGAUUGAUCCACCAAGAAACUCCUCUCUUCACAUCCAAGCCUCCUUCAAGGCCUAAGAGCUUGCCACCAUGAAGGGGAAGAAGAAAAGGGAAUCAAAACCCAAAUUAAAAAGGAUUUGGGAGAGAAAUCUAGAGAGAGAAAGGGGAAAAACCUUACCUCUCCACCUCUCCAAGCUCAGCACAAAAAGGGCUGUGGGGGAGAAAAUGGAUUAUAUAUACAAGUUGUAACAAAUUUCAAAAAGCCCCUCCAAACACCAAAAAUUGCAAACUGCACGAAUUGCAGUUUUUGCACUGCGUACUGAUAUUCGGGCAGGAGUACCAGUACCCAGCAACAAUUCCAACGCAACCCGAGCCUCUGCCAAGCGAUAUUUGUUACGGCGUACCGGUACCCAGUCAAUGCAGUACCGGUACCUAGCAGCCCGCAGCUCAAACCCGAGAGCAGCUUCUCUUGGUUACGCACUAGGGUUCCGGUACCUCACCCAGGUACCGAUACUCGGCACCCCCAAACCCGUAUUUUCAGAUUUUGGUGCUAAGUGCUCCUUCUCACGUUCUCGCAACAUGAGUAAUGGAUCGAUACUCAGUCAACGACCUACAAAAACACCGGGAAUAGCUCAAAACGCUAUUCUAACACUGGAACCUCGCAAUUUGCUAAAGUUCAGUGUGCUACAGUACAUGUUAUUGUUCUUGUUGUUUAUUUAGUAGUUUAUCUUGACUCUUGUGUUAUGAAAAGUCUUUCAUUAUUCUGGCCUCCAGUAGAUCUAGUGGGAAGGUCAUAGUUAUUGUCGACCGUACCCACUGGGAACUACUGUUCAGUAGUUCUCACAUCCUUUUGUGGUUUACUUUUCAGGGGUACUUAUAUCGAUAGUUGAUCGUGGUAAGGAGAAUCACACAGUAGAUAGCAUCUCCUACCGGUUUGCCUAUACAUUAGAGGACCAUCAGAAAGUGUUACUUUGUAUUACAUGCCUGUACUGGCGAGGGCCAGGGCCUUGUACAUGUACUUGUCUUUUGGGGUUAAGUUUUGUUUGAUGAAGUAUAUGAUGUGUAGCAAUUUAGUUUAUAGAUAGUGCUCUGAUACAUAUCGUUUAUUUAUUUCAUACUUUAUUUUGGAUCUUGUGAUGUGAAAACUUUUUCAUUUUAUCUCCUAGAUUACCUUGCCUUGUUCUUUUGUGUUGCCGCUUCGUUCGAAUAGAGGAAACUCUGUCCGUUCGGCGGGUCUGUUGACACCUCUGUGGGCUUCCGUUGUGGACUCAGGGCGUAACAAAAUUAGAAAUUAGAAAUUAGAAAUUUAAAAUUUAAUAUUUAAAAAUUUAAAAUUUAAAUUUGAAUAUUAAAAGUUUAAAAUUAAAAACUUAAAAUUAAAAUUAAAAUUUUUAAAAUUUGAAACUUGUAAUUUGAAAAUCAAAACUUAUAAUUUUAAAUUUAACAUUUUAAAAUUUUUAAUUUUUAAUUUUUAAUUUUCAAUUUUCAAAAUUUAAAUUUUAUCUUAAAUUUGAAAUUUAAAAUUUAAAAUUUUGAGUUUUAAAAUUUACAAUUUGAGAUUUGAAAUUUAAAUUUAAAAUUUAAUAUCUAAAUUUAAAUUUUAAAAUUUUGAAAUUUGAAAUUUAAAGGUUAAAAUUUGAAAUUUAAAAGAUCAAAUAUAAAUUUGAACUUUAAAAUUAAAAUUUGAAUUUGUAUUUAAAAUUUGGAUCUAAAAUCGAGAUAAAAAUUUGAAGUUUGAUGUGACGCCCCAAUAAUCCCACAUCGGAUAGGAAUGGGGUUGUCAUUGGGUUUAUAAGAGACUUAGACACUAGUAAUAAUAACUGGACUUAAGCAUUUUGGGCCGGUGGUUGGGUCCAACGAGUUAUUGUUGCUAGUGGGCUGGGUCGUUACAUAAUAUUAGGGUUUUCGCGAAGUUUUCGAUUUUGCCCGUUCAACACCUCAGCGAACAUCUCGCAAUUUCAGCAGAUCAGUCCGUCGGAUUUCCGAUCGGAUCACACCAGCAUUCAGCACGACUGGGGAACUGAAUCUAGCAUUUUGUUUCGUCCGAUAUGGUUGUCGAUUUGCAACGAAGCCCACCCUCAUCGCUUCCACCAUAAAACACAUAUAUAUACCAUAUAUUUGUAAAUCCACUGAAACCCCUUUUUCUCGAAAAUCGUGCAUCAGAACCCAAUUCCGUCAGUGCCAUUGGGUCCGAAAUAGUGGAACCGGUCGAAACAAGCUAUUGAACAUCUAUGAACGGAGUCCGAUACGCACCAGAAGCCAACUCUACUCCGUGGCUUCUCCGGAAAAACGGAGUUACUAUUCACUUAAGUGAAUACUACAGAUCGCGUAACUUCUCCAUCCUAACUCGUUUUUUCCUGAAACUUGACGAGUGCUUAUGUAAUUAAAUUACACACAAAAACAUCGUCAACAGAGAGUUCAGCUACACUAUCGAAAAUCUCAGUCCUUAUAUUAUCCCCCCUUUAAAAGAAGUUUCGUCCCCGAAACUUGACCACGCACCCACCCGAAAGGAAUUCGGAUACUACUCUAUCACUGCGGUAUCACCUUUGAGUACUAGUCAAUUACAUUUUCUUGAGAAUGAACAAAUCAACCUCCUAAAGGUGGGGAGAAUAGGACUGCGGUUCCACUCGGAUUAGACGAGGGAAAACGUACCAACCCAAAAUCUACGGACCAAAACUCACCGGGAUCAGCACCAUCCUAUAACCUGCGGACAAAAACAGUCCUGCGACCAGGAUUAUCAGAUCCCAAAUUAUCAACUCUGAGAUAAAAAUUCUCCACUCAGAAACUCUAGAUACACUAUACCUUGAUCCACAUACCAGUAACCGACUCGACUACGUCACGUAGAAGAGACACGAGUCAACACCACAAGUCUGGAGUGUAUUUUCAUAUGUCACGCCCCGAGCUCCGCCUAUUUGGUCGGAUUCGGGUACGCCGACAGACCGCCGAACGGACAGAGCCUCCCCUGUACGUUCUAGGCGUCACAAUCUAUACAAUGCAAUACAAGAGGUUCCAAACAGGAACUGUAUUCAACCACAGAUUGCAUAAGUAUCAAAAACAUAAAGUGCUAACUAUGCUAUUACAAGCAUUCAUCUCAGCAUUUUAUAUUUACAAAAUUCCAAAUACCUUUAAGUUAUUACAAAACUUAUACAAUUUCACUACAAGUUUGUUUCUUUCAAUUUGAACUCUGAAUUUAAGUUCUUCAGGGUAUUGCUAUCUCGGUCUCGGUGGUGGGGCGCUAUCUACGGAACUACGCCCUGUCCUCGCGCCGCCGCGCCGCUCGCGUGCAACCUGUACCCCCAAAACAACACGGGGGUGAGAACUAUAUAAAUAUAGUUCCCAGUGGGUACGGCCACCCAAGAGAAGAGCUCGACCCACCAGGUCCAAAGGAGGCAACAGUAGGUUAGUUCAACAAAUAGAUAGAUAGAUAUUUAACGAUGCAACAAAUAGAACCAUACCUUGCCUCGCUGCUAUGCACUAUGCAAUACCUGUAAAUCAUGAAAGUAGCUUACUUGAUUCUACUUUAUAUCAUUAGCCAUUCUUUACUUGUAGCCGUUUUAUUCUUUCUUAGCUAGUUUCAUUCAUUAGCUAUUUUCCUUAUUCUUUUCUUUAUGCUUUAUUCUUUAUUCUUACUGUACUCACUGGCGAUUCUUUCCUAAGGUUACUUUACCUUAGCCAUCUAGCCACUCGACUCGGUCUUGAGUCAAUCAACCGCGGAGUACCGCGUCAAGUCAGGCUCGAGGUGAAGGACGUCUCACAACACCUCAGCCUUAAGUCCACGCGACACUAGGUCCAUCACAGGGAGAGGAGAACCGUCGAUCCCCGUGACCCUAAGUCGCUCAAGCUCAACGGGCGAGGAGAACCGUCAAACCCGUUAGCUCAACCGGGAGAGGAGAACCGUCAAUCCCGUUGAAUCACUACCGGGAGAGGAGAACCGUCGAUCCCGUAGUUCCGAUUCACUUCCUUCAUGGCAUACCGGGAGAGGAGAACCGUCGAUCCCGUUGAAUCACUACCGGGAGAGGAGAACCGUCAAUCCCGUAGUUAAGAUUCUAUUUCUGCCAUCAUACCAAUCCUAGGGAUUCCGGAAUCCAUUUUCACAACUUAAGGGUUUACUCUUUUACCCUAUGUCGACGACCUUUCUAGGUCUAUUCUAUUCACUUUCUAGUGGUCCUAUUGCCACUAUGAUUCACAACUUAGUUUACUUUUACUAAGUGGUUCUUUACAUCAUAACCUAGGUUCACUUACACUAGGUUUUAUAUACUUUCUCCUAGAUCUCAACUCUAGGUUUACAUACUCGACCUAGGUCCAAUGACACUAGGUUAAUGUCCGACCUAUGUUCAAUAACACUAGGCUUAUUUCAUGUCCAACCUAUGUUUAAUAGCACUAGGUUCAUGCCACUCGAGCUAUUCAAUGUCCAACCUAGGUUUAAUAACUCUAGGUUCAUGCCACUCGAUCUAUUCAAUGUCCUAAUUCUCCACGCCUAGGUUUAUAAUCUGCACAUUUUCAUUUACCUCGUUACCGUUUAGAUUUCUACUCAAUUGGAGUUGUCGAUUUAUACCCAAUACUUAGGGAUUUCACGUGAGGUUUACAGAUUAUAUACUUAUUGCCAUCGAGGUUUCUAAUCAUUAUCGACGUUCAUAUAGCUUGAACUAUAAUAUAUUCAUUUUCACAUAUGUUUGGGCACAUGCCUCAAAUAUUCGCUUUUAAGUGUCGACAAUAGCAUCUAGGUUCACAUUUCAUAUUCAAUUUACAUGCCCUUGGCUUUUACAGGUUUAACAUGAUAUUUACAAGUUCAACAUUUAUAUAUCAUGAACAUAUGAAUUUAGCAUAACUAUGGCUUUUCCGUUCAUAUAUAUAUUCAUUCUCAUGUCUCUCGCGUUCAUUUUCAUAUAUGUUUAGCCCUUUUUGCAACUAGCACCCACAAGUCACGCAUUCAUAUGUCUCUAGCAUGUUUGUCGCACAUAAAUAAUCAUAUAGGAUUAUCACUAUAGUCAUGUACAUAUUCUAUCAAUAAGCAACUUAUAUAACUCAUGCUGUCAGUUCAAUAAUCAUAUUCAUGAACUAUCGCUACACAUAUAUGCGUCAAUUGAAUUCAUACUUUACUUUGGCAUGGAAGUGACCUAAUCACUUCGGUAAGCACAACCCACCUUUCUUUGAUGCCGGAAAGGGAGAAAUGCGCUUCUAGCGCUUUCCCGAGAACCGCGACCCGUGCUCGCGACUAUCGACGCCGAAAAUCUUCUUUUGGCGAUAUCUUCGCGUAGGCUCGUCGGAUUGCCGAACCGACUUCGCCAGCAAGUUUCUUUUACCCCCAAUUAGGUUUGUACGCAGUUAAUUUCAUUUAGGGCUUCUAUCCUGCAAAAGUGCAUUAUCGGGGUCAAUUUCUAUAGAAGCUCGUUUCAAUGCAAUUUCACAAUUCACUAGAGUAAUUCAACUCUUUUUAGCCCAAGAAUCUCAAAAAUAAUUAAUGAAAUCUGCCCAAAGACUUCGAUUCUAUUUUUCUCUCUAUUUCAUUUCCUUUCUUUCAUUUUUUUCUUCUCUUUCUUUCUUUCUUUCUUUCCUGCAGAUUUCUUCCUUUCUUUUCCUUCUUUCUUUUCUUUCUUUCUCUACUUUCUUUCUUUCUUUCUUUCCUUUCCUUCUUUCCCCUGCAACAGCUGCUGCUGAUGCUGUUCCUGCUGCCGCUGACAG